rnacentral:rRNA from 1 species
GACGAACGCUGGCGGCGUGCUUAACACAUGCAAGUCGAGCGGUAAGGCCCUUUCGGGGGUACACGAGCGGCGAACGGGUGAGUAACACGUGGGUGACCUGCCCUCAGCUCUGGGAUAAGCCUGGGAAACCGGGUCUAAUACUGGAUAUGACUCCAUGACGCAUGUUGUGGGGUGGAAAGCCUUGUGCGGCUGAGGAUGGGCCCGCGGCCUAUCAGCUUGUUGGUGGGGUGANGGCCUACCAAGGCGACGACGGGCAGCCGGCCUGAGAGGGCGACCGGCCACACUGGGACUGAGACACGGCCCAGACUCCUACGGGAGGCAGCAGUGGGGAAUCUUGCGCAAUGGGCGAAAGCCUGACGCAGCGACGCCGCGUGAGGGAUGACGGCC